rnacentral:rRNA from 1 species
UUCYGGUUGAUCCUGCCRGACCCGACUGCUAUCAGAGUGAGACUAAGCCAUGCGAGUUAACGUAUGAAUAAUACGUGGCACACGGCUCAGUAACACGUAGUCAACAUGCCCAGAGGACGUGGAUAACCUCGGGAAACUGAGGAUAAACCGCGAUAGGCCAUAAUUACUGGAAUGGGUUACGGCUUAAACCUAUAUGGCCUCUGGAUUGGACUGCGGCCGAUCAGGCUGUUGGUGAGGUAAUGGCCCACCAAACCUGUUACCGGUACGGGCUCUGAGAGGAGGAGCCCGGAGAUGGGCACUGAGACAAGGGCCCAGGCCCUAUGGGGCGCAGCAGGCGCGAAACCUCUGCAAUAGGCGAAAGCCUGACAGGGUUACUCUGAGUGAUUCCCGCUAAGGGGAUCUUUUGGCACCUCUAAAAAUGGUGCAGAAUAAGGGGUGGGCAAGUCUGGUGUCAGCCGCCGCGGUAAUACCAGCACCCCGAGUGGUCGGGACGAUUAUUGGGCCUAAAGCAUCCGUAGUCGGUCAUGCAAGUCCUCCGUUAAAUCCACCUGCUCAACAGAUGGGCUGCGGAGGAUACUACAAGGCUAGGAGGCGGAAGAGGCAAGCGGUACUCAGUGGGUAGGGGUAAAAUCCUCUGAUCCAUUGAAGACCACCAGUGGCGAAGGCGGCUUGCCAAUACGCGCUCGACGGUGAGGGAUGAAAGCUGGGGGAGCAAACCGGAUUAGAUACCCGGGUAGUCCCAGCUGUAAACGAUGCAGACUCGGUGAUGGGCCGGCUUUAUGCCGGCUCAGUGCCGCAGGGAAGCCGUUAAGUCUGCCGCCUGGGGAGUACGGUCGCAAGACUGAAACUUAAAGGAAUUGGCGGGGGAGCACCACAAGGGGUGAAGCCUGCGGUUCAAUUGGABUCAACGCCGGR